UCCCUGGUGGUCCAGUGGUUAAGGCCCUGCACUUUCACUGUAGAGGGCACAGGUUCAAUCCCUGGGUGGGGAG
rnacentral:tRNA from 1 species